AAGGAGGGAGGAUAGCCAUGCACCACUCUGAUGAUUUUUACAAUCAAUCUGUGCUGAUAAAUUUCUCAUACCCAUUGAUCUCUGUGCUG